rnacentral:rRNA from 1 species
UACGUAGGCAGCGAGCGUUGUUCGGAGUUACUGGGCGUAAAGAGUGCGUAGGCGGUUUUCUAAGUUUGGUGUGAAAUCUCCCGGCUUAACUGGGAGGGUGCGCCGAAAACUGGAAGGCUUGAGUAUGGGAGAGGUAAGCGGAAUUCCUGGUGUAGCGGUGAAAUGCGUAGAUAUCAGGAGGAACACCGGUGGCGAAGGCGGAUCUCUGGGCCUUACCUGACGCUGAGGAGCGAAAGCAUGGGGAGCAAACAGG